UAGCCAUUCGAAACCUUGAGGUGUAUGUUGGCUGUAGCAUAUUCAUUGUAGGAACCAAAUCGCACCAAGAUGGAAUCUAUCAACCUCGAUAGAUGAGAGGAGUUGUCCUAUGAUGAUCGAAAGAUCGAGUCCUUAAGCCCAUGGCCAUGGCAGAGUGAAAUAAUGGAAAAGAGUUUUUCAUUAGGGUUUCACAUCGAACUC
rnacentral:lncRNA from 1 species